rnacentral:rRNA from 1 species
UACGAAGGGGGCUAGCGUUGCUCGGAAUCACUGGGCGUAAAGGGUGCGUAGGCGGGUCUUUUAAGUCAGGGGUGAAAUCCUGGAGCUCGACUCCAGAACUGCCUUUGAUACUGAGGAUCUUGAGUUCGGGAGAGGUGAGUGGAACUGCGAGUGUAGAGGUGAAAUUCGUAGAUAUUCGCAAGAACACCAGUGGCGAAGGCGGCUCACUGGCCCGAUACUGACGCUGAGGCACGAAAGCGUGGGGAGCAAACAGGG